rnacentral:rRNA from 1 species
UACGUAGGGGGCAAGCGUUGUCCGGAUUCAUUGGGCGUAAAGAGCGUGUAGGCGGCCAGGUAGGUCGGUUGUGAAAACUGGAGGCUCAACCUUCAGACGUCGACCGAAACCAUCUGGCUAGAGUCCGGGAGAGGAGAGUGGAAUUCCUGGUGUAGCGGUGAAAUGCGUAGAUAUCAAGUGGAACACCAGUGGCGAAGGCGAGUCUCUGGACAUUUCCUGACGCUGAGGCACGAAAGCCAGGGGAGCAAACGGG